UCGGGAAUUUUGGGCAAUGGGCGAAAGCCUGACCCAGCAACGCCGCGUGAAGGAUGAAGUAUUUCGGUAUGUAAACUUCGAAAGAAUAGGAAGAAUAAAUGACGGUACUAUUUAUAAGGUCCGGCUAACUACGUGCCAGCAGCCGCGGUAAUACGAAGGGAGCUAGCGUUGUUCGGAAUCACUGGGCGUAAAGCGCACGUAGGCGGAUAGUUAAGUCAGGGGUGAAAUCCUGGGGCUCAACCCCAGAACUGCCUUUGAUACUGGCUGUCUCGAGGUCGAGAGAGGUUGGUGGAAUUCCUAGUGUAGAGGUGAAAUUCGUAGAUAUUCGCAGGAACACCAGUGGCGAAGGCGACUUGCUGGACUUAUGGUGACGCUGAGACGCGAAAGCGUGGGGAGCAAACAGGAUUAGAUACCCCCGUAGUCCCUGAGCGGGCUGGCAAGGCGCAU
rnacentral:rRNA from 1 species